AGAGUUUGAUCAUGGCUCAGAAUGAACGCUGGCGGCAGGCCUAACACAUGCAAGUCGAACGGGUGUCUUCGGGCACUAGUGGCGGACGGGUGAGUAACGCGUGGGAACAUACCCAAAGGUACGGAAUAGCCUCGGGAAACUGAGAGUAAUACCGUAUGUGCCCUUCGGGGGAAAGAUUUAUCGCCUUUGGAUUGGCCCGCGUUGGAUUAGGUAGUUGGUGGGGUAAUGGCCUACCAAGCCGACGAUCCAUAGCUGGUUUGAGAGGAUGAUCAGCCACACUGGGACUGAGACACGGCCCAGACUCCUACGGGAGGCAGCAGUGGGGAAUCUUAGACAAUGGGGGAAACCCUGAUCUAGCCAUGCCGCGUGAUCGAUGAAGGCCUUAGGGUUGUAAAGAUCUUUCAGAUGGGAAGAUAAUGACGGUACCAUCAGAAG
rnacentral:rRNA from 1 species